UACGGAGGGUGCGAGCGUUGUCCGGAAUCACUGGGCGUAAAGGGCGCGUAGGCGGCGCGGAAAGUCGUCGGUGAGAGCUCGGGGCUCAACCCUGAGUCUGCCGGUGAUACUCCCGCGCUCGAGCUCACUAGAGGCAGAUGGAAUUCCGGGUGUAGCGGUGGAAUGCGUAGAGAUCCGGAAGAACACCGGUGGCGAAGGCGGUCUGCUGGGGUGAGGCUGACGCUGAUGCGCGACAGCGUGGGGAGCAAACAGG
rnacentral:rRNA from 1 species